GACGAACGCUGGCGGCGUGCUUAACACAUGCAAGUCGAACGGAAAGGCCCUGCUUUUGUGGGGUGCUCGAGUGGCGAACGGGUGAGUAACACGUGAGUAACCUGCCCUUGACUUUGGGAUAACUUCAGGAAACUGGGGCUAAUACCGGAUAGGAGCUCCUGCUGCAUGGUGGGGGUUGGAAAGUUUCGGCGGUUGGGGAUGGACUCGCGGCUUAUCAGCUUGUUGGUGGGGUAGUGGCUUACCAAGGCUUUGACGGGUAGCCGGCCUGAGAGGGCGACCGGCCACAUUGGGACUGAGAUACGGCCCAGACUCCUACGGGAGGCAGCAGUGGGGAAUAUUGCACAAUGGGCGGAAGCCUGAUGCAGCAACGCCGCGUGCGGGAUGACGGCCUUCGGGUUGUAAACCGCUUUCGCCUGUGACGAAGCGUGAGUGACGGCAAUGGGUAAAGAAGCACCGGCUAACUACGUG
rnacentral:rRNA from 1 species